rnacentral:lncRNA from 10 species
CCAACACAUAUAAGUCAUAAAUUUGAAUACAAUCGCCUUCCAGUGUAAAUUUUCCAGAGACAUUAGUGUCUCAAAAUUAAAUUCCCUUACAAGUCAACAGAGUUAAAGUCCAAUGUAAUUCCAUCCAAAGUCAAAUUCUCUUGCUUCUGCAAGUUAAAUGUCCAAAGUCAUUAUAGUACAAAAUAAAAUGUUCCAGUUCUUAUAAGUAAAAGCUCAAAGAACAAAACACCAAAGGUCUCCAGUUACAGUCUUAUAAUCAUUAUUUCCAAAGUUUUUAUUUUCUCAGUCUCGGAUAGAGGUGUCUUAUUCUGAACCUGGGCAUACUUGGGUUUCUUCAGCAGCUGCUGCUUGCCUUGUUUUCUUUCAUGCAAAUGUAUGUGGUUUCUUCAGGACCUCAGAAUUAAAAUUAGCUUCUCAUAUGCUCUCUUUUUUAAAAAUCCAAAAGGUUGGUAGACAUACAAGAUUAUUUUUUCUACACCCAAAUUUUGACAAUGCAAAUGAUCUCUGACUUCUUAGUGAAAUUAACCAAGGCAGAAUUCUGUUCCCAGAACCCAACCUUUGAUGCUGCAAAAACCAAGGGAGAUACUUGUGAGACCUGAGGGCAGGAAGAUAGACUUUCUCACUUCAGUCUAGCCAGGAUGCAAAGCUUUUUUGGAAUCUAUGAGAACAAAUUCACUUAGGAAAAAGUGCUACCAGGAGGUUAUGAUGGUGCUGGACUUUCUUUAUGUGGGAAAAACACAUACCUGUUCAUGUCAACUUUUCUCUCAGGCCACUGUAUUAAGAUGCCACUGCCUUUUGGCAAACUAUUAGCAAUAUUAGCAGGCUAACUUACCAGAUCCUAUUUGUGAUGCAUAUCUUUCCAUCUGCCAUUUUAAAAACCCCUUACUAUGCAGUUCCCCUUGGAUUCCACUGUUUCUGGAACAUAAAUGUUGUAUUUAGGAUGGGCUCUGCCAAGUGACACAGCCUUCCCUGUCUCUUUUGAAAAGAUGUUUUCAGUUCUGCACCACUCAGGUUCCUUCCACGGCUUCUUACUAUGGAAACGUUAGGACUGUUAAACAUGCCUAUUUGAGGAGAUUUCCUUUGUUCCCACAUUUACCUCAAGUGGAGAAUCACAUUCAGAAGAUUCCUGAGCUGAAACUUUGAUUGAUGUUACUGAAUCUAGCACUUCUAGGAGCCUAGUGAAAAUCCAAUACAAUGUGAUCCUCAAGACAAUGCCCUUCUUCAGGUUUGAAUGUUCUGAGCUAUGAAUAGCAUUUCUUAUUUAGUAUACCUUUUUCUGCAAUCAUGGGAUGUAUCACCAGAAUUUUCUUUUCUUCUUUAUUCUUCAACUUCUUUUGGGUAGAUCCAGUUUUACCUUCUACUUAGACAAUUCCCUUUCAUCUCUACUACGUGUAGGGCUAGUAUUAUUGUUGGUUGAUCCAAGAGCCUCCUUUCUUUUGCAUUUGCAUUUUCUAUUCUUUCUUGCCCAUGCAUUUGUCUUUUUUUUUUUUUUUUUUUUUUUUUUUUUUGAUAUGGAGUUUCACUCAGUCAUCAGGCUGGAAUGCAAUGGCACGAUCUCAGCUCACUGCAACCUCUGCCUCCUGGGUUCAAGCAAUUCUUCUGCCUCAGCCUCCAGAGUAGCUGGGACUACAGGCAUGCGCCACCACACCCAGCUAAUUUUUGUAUUUUUAGUAGAGACGGGUUUCACCAUGUUGGCCAGGAUGGUCUCAAUCUCUUGACCUCGUGAUCUGCCCACGUCGGCCUCCCAAAGUGCUGGGAUUACAGGCAUGAGCCACCGUGCCCGGCGGCAUUUGUUUUUCUAACAUACUGUCUUAGGUCACCAAUUACACAGAAGAACUGUCUUGGUAUUAAGAGCAGAUGGAACCACCUUCUGGGGAUUCUCAUGAAAAAUACAAUGAGAAAGUCAAUUAGCA